rnacentral:rRNA from 1 species
AACGAACGCUGGCGGCAGGCUUAACACAUGCAAGUCGAACGGGUGUAGCAAUACAUCAGUGGCAGACGGGUGAGUAACACGUGGGAACCUUCCUAGGGGUACGGAACAACUCAGGGAAACUUGAGCUAAUACCGUAUACGUCCGUGAGGAGAAAGAUUUAUCGCCCUUAGACGGGCCCGCGUCGGAUUAGCUAGUUGGUGGGGUAACGGCCUACCAAGGCGACGAUCCGUAGCUGAUCUUAGAGGAUGAUCAGCCACACUGGGACUGAGACACGGCCCAGACUCCUACGGGAGGCAGCAGUGGGGAAUCUUGGACACUGGGCGCAAGCCUGAUCCAGCCAUGCCGCGUGAGUGAAGAAGGCCUUAGGGUUGUAAAGCUCUUUUACCAGGGACGAUAAUGACGGUACCUGGAGAAUAAGCCCCGGCAAACUUCGUGCCAGCCGCCGCGGUAACAC